ACUUACUACUCGCCCCUUGACUCUUCAUGAACAUCCCUUCUGUGUAUCAAAUCUUUGUUGCUUCCCGCAUGGUGUGGCCUGCAAAGGCUACCCUGUGGGAAGGAUAUGAUAAACUCUUGUUGUUGUGUCAUUAGUCUGAGUGGUAAACACAUGAAACAAGUUAAAACUUUCAACAACGGAUCUCUUGGUUCUCGCAUCGAUGAAGAACGCAGCGAAAUGCGAUAAGUAGUGUGAAUUGCAGAAUUCAGUGAAUCAUCGAAUCUUUGAACGCACAUUGCGCCUUCUGGUAUUCCGGGAGGCAUGCCUGUUCGAGCGUCAUCAAACACAUCCUCAAGCACUUUUGCUUGGUAUUGGUGGCAGAUGUCCGCAUCUCCUCUUAAAUUCCUCAGCGGAAACUACUGCGGUCUCAGGUGUCAUAAGAUUACCUUUCGCUUGAUAACUGCCGGUAGGUUCUUGCUGUGAAGAGCCCCCCAG
rnacentral:rRNA from 1 species